rnacentral:rRNA from 1 species
GUGCGAGUAGAGCGGCGGACGGGUGAGUAACGCGUAGGAAUCUACCUAGUAGAAGGGGAUAGCCCGGGGAAACUCGGAUUAAUACCGUAUACCUCCUUAGGGAGAAAGAGGGCUUAGCUUUGAUGCUCUCGCUAUUAGAUGAGCCUGCGUAAGAUUAGCUUGUUGGUGAGGUAAUGGCUCACCAAGGCGACGAUCUUUAGCUGGUCUGAGAGGACGAUCAGCCACAUUGGGACUGAGACACGGCCCAGACUCCUACGGGAGGCAGCAGUGGGGAAUAUUGGACAAUGGGCGCAAGCCUGAUCCAGCCAUACCGCGUGUGUGAAGAAGGCUUUCGGGUUGUAAAGCACUUUAAGUAAGGAGGAAAAGAUUGUAGUUAAUACCUGCAAUCCGUGACGUUACUUACAGAAUAAGGACCGGCUAAUUCCGUGCCAGCAGCCGCGGUAAUACGGAAGGUCCAAGCGUUAAUCGGAAUUACUGGGCGUAAAGCGCGCGUAGGUGGUUUUUUAAGUUGGAUGUGAAAGCCCUGGGCUCAACCUAGGAACUGCAUCCAAAACUAGAUGACUAGAGUACGAAAGAGGGAAGUAGAAUUCACAGUGUAGCGGUGGAAUGCGUAGAUAUUGUGAAGAAUACCAAUGGCGAAGGCAGCUUCC